GUACUCCUACGGGACGCAGCAGUGAGGAAUAUUGGUCAAUGGUCGGGAGACUGAACCAGCCAAGCCGCGUGAGGGAUGAAGGUACAGAGUAUCGUAAACCUCUUUUGUCAGGGAACAAAGGCGGGGACGCGUCCCCGGAUGAGGGUAUCUGAAGAAAAAGCAUCGGCUAACUCCGCGCCAGCAGCCGCGGUAAUACGGAGGAUGCGAGCGUUAUCCGGAUUUAUUGGGUUUAAAGGGUGCGCAGGCGGUCUGUUAAGUCAGCGGUAAA
rnacentral:rRNA from 1 species